AACGCGAAGAACCUUACCUAAGCUUGACAUCCCACUGACCUCUCCCUAAUCAGAGAUUUCCCUUCGGGGACAGUGGUGACAGGUGGUGCAUGGUUGUCGUCAGCUCGUGUCGUGAGAUGUUGGGUUAAGUCCCGCAACGAGCGCAACCCUUGUCUUUAGUUGCCAUCAUUAAGUUGGGCACUCUAGAGAGACUGCCGAGGAUAACUCGGAGGAAGGUGGGGAUGACGUCAAAUCAUCAUGCCCCUUAUGCUUAGGGCUACACACGUGCUACAAUGGGUGGUACAGAGGGCAGCCAAGUCGUGAGGCGGAGCUAAUCCCUUAAAGCCAUUCUCAGUUCGGAUUGUAGGCUGAAACUCGCCUACAUGAAGCUGGAGUUGCUAGUAAUCGCGAAUCAGCAUGUCGCGGUGAAUACGUUCCCGGGUCUUGUACACACCG
rnacentral:rRNA from 1 species